rnacentral:lncRNA from 1 species
AAUUCUUUAUCUGAUACAAAAAAUAAUGAAUAAUAUUGAAUUAAAAUCUCUUUAUUUCUCAGGGUGAGGAUGGAUUCCCUGGCUUCAAAGGAGACAUGGGACUUAAAGGAGAUAGGGGUGAGCUCGGUGUGGUCGGACCCCGUGGUGAGGAUGGUCCUGAAGGUCCUAAGGGUCGUGCAGGUCCUAAUGGUGAAUCAGGACCGAUGGGUCUGGCUGGAGAGAAGGGUAAACUGGGCGUUCCUGGACUGCCUGGAUACCCAGGACGACAGGGACCGAAGGUACAUCCAGCAUCAACUGCACUGUUCUAGAUACAGACAGAUAGACAGACAGAUAGACAGAUAGAUAUACUAUUAUAACUCAAAUGUUGUUUGCCUUGAACCAUCAGUAAUGUUCCAGACACCUUAAUACUCCUCAGCAUAGUACUCAAAACCCCAGUUAUAUUCUAGCUAGGCCUGUCACGAUAAUUACAUUAUCGAUUUAUCAUACAAUAAAUGGACAUGACCCUAAUAAUAUUUGAUCA